GACGAACGCUGGCGGCGUGCUUAACACAUGCAAGUCGAACGAAAAGAGGGAAAGAGCUUGCUCUUUCCGGAAUUGAGUGGCAAACGGGUGAGUAACACGUAAACAACCUGCCUUCAGGAUGGGGACAACAGACGGAAACGACUGCUAAUACCGAAUAAGUUCCAAGAGCCGCAUGGCCCAUGGAAGAAAAGGUGGCCUCUACCUGUAAGCUAUCGCCUGAAGAGGGGUUUGCGUCUGAUUAGCUGGUUGGAGGGGUAACGGCCCACCAAGGCGGCGAUCAGUAGCCGGUCUGAGAGGAUGAACGGCCACACUGGAACUGAGACACGGUCCAGACUCCUACGGGAGGCAGCAGUGGGGAAUCUUCCGCAAUGGGCGAAAGCCUGACGGAGAAACGCCGCGUGAGUGAUGACGGCCUUCGGGUUGUAAAACUCUGUGAUCCGGGACGAAAAGGCAGAGUGCGAAGAACAAACUGCAUUGACGGUACCGGAAAAGCAAGCCACGGCUAACUACGUG
rnacentral:rRNA from 1 species